UCGUCACUACGGCUCCUUUGUUAGCGAUUAAUGAGGCCAACUUUUGUUUUGUUCUCCAGGUUUUCCUGAGAAAACUGAUUUCCUCUUUAAGCUGGUUCUCAUCAAGUAACACUUCCACCUUUGAAGAGAGAUCAUAUAGGGCAACGUCGACGUUGUGCACUUUCUGAAGACGGCUGAUGGCGGGUAUCCGGAGCUUUCUAGACAAAGUCCAGUCUAGAGUGAAGAGCUCCAUAACACGCCUGUGGAUAAAAAAAUGAAAACAUUAAGUGAUUUAC